ensembl:lncRNA
CAAACUACCUGCCCUCCAGGACACCUACACCACCCGAUGCUACAGGAAGGCCAUAAAGAUCAUCAAGGACAUCAACCACCCGAGCCACUGCCUGUUCACCCCGCUGUCAUCCAGAAGGCGAGUUUCAGCUACAAGAGGAAGUGACAUUGCAGGCUAUGUAAUCCUGUUUCUCAUAUUGUUGGCUGUUGUGUGUCUGGUGGUGAUUCUCUAUAUCCUGAGGAAGAAGUCCAGGAGGUACUCGUUUGAUCUGCAGUAUCCAGGUUAUGACCACGACACCCCCCUCACCUGCAUGGAACAACCCGGAACCUUCGAACCCAACAACGAUCAGGAGAUCUGGGAGUCUGAGAGAGAGGGUGGUGAUGAGGAUCCCCAUGCUAUGAGCCCUGUAGCUAACGGCUCAGCUAUGGGGGCUGGAGAGACUGGCUCUACAGGGGAGAACGAAGGAGAGAAGCAGGCUCAUGGUGAUAGUGACGGAGACAGCUUCAACAACUUCUGUGCCAGUGAUGUCACUCCGCCCAUAAAAAGGGUUGGCUUUAGCCUGGACCUCGACCUGAGUGACAAGGUGUUACUCGGCUCCAGCCCUGACCUUUGACCCUUGAGUGACAGGGUGUUACUCGGCUCCGGCCCUGACCUUCGACCCUGUAUGUCCAGAUAACGUCUUCACUGAGAUCAAGAUGUACAUAGCACCUUUUAUUUGAUCUAUAAAAUGUCAGAAUGUACACGGCUCCAGAUCAGUGUUUACUUUCUGAUACUGUAAUUCAUUUUAAUAAUGUUUUGAGCGUGACCAAGAGAGCGAUGUCACGUGGUUUUAGAAUGAAAAAAAUGUACUUCACAGAGGACUUGACGUGGUCAUUAUUAUUAUUAUUAUUAUUAUUAUUAUUAUUAUCAUUAUUAUUAUUAUUAUUAUUAUUAUCAUUAUUAUUAUUAUUAUUAUUCUCAUUAUUAUUAUUAUUAUUAU